rnacentral:rRNA from 1 species
GACGAACGCUGGCGGCGUGCUUAACACAUGCAAGUCGAACGGUGAAGGGGUCUGCUUUUGUGGGUCCUGGAUGAGUGGCGAACGGGUGAGUAACACGUGAGUAACCUGCCCCCUUCUUCUGGAUAACCGCAUGAAAGUGUGGCUAAUACGGGAUAUUCUGGGUCUGUCGCAUGAUGGGUCUGGGAAAGAUUGCGCCUUUGGGUGUUUUUGGUGGGGGAUGGGCUCGCGGCCUAUCAGCUUGUUGGUGGGGUGAUGGCCUACCAAGGCGGUGACGGGUAGCCGGCCUGAGAGGGUGGACGGUCACACUGGGACUGAGACACGGCCCAGACUCCUACGGGAGGCAGCAGUGGGGAAUAUUGCACAAUGGGCGCAAGCCUGAUGCAGCGACGCCGCGUGAGGGAUGGAGGCCUUCGGGUUGUAAACCUCUUUCGCCAGUGAAGCAGGCCUGCUCCUUGUGGGUGGGUUGACGGUAGCUGGAUAAGAAGCGCCGGCUAACUACGUG